rnacentral:rRNA from 1 species
UACAGAGGGGGCAAGCGUUGUUCGGAAUUACUGGGCGUAAAGGGCGCGUAGGCGGCCUUCUAAGUCGAACGUGAAAUCCCUGGGCUCAACCCAGGAACUGCGUCCGAUACUGGAAGGCUUGAAUCCGGGAGAGGGAUGCGGAAUUCCAGGUGUAGCGGUGAAAUGCGUAGAGAUCAGGAAGAACACCCGUGGCGCAAGCGGCCACCUGGCUGCCAACUGACGCUGAGGCACGAGAGCGUGGGGAGCGAACCGG